AUGCUUCCUCUGGAUGUGGAUAGCUUCUUUCUCAUAAGACCCUCAGAAUUGUCUUGGAUCAUUGCAUUGCUGCUAGUAGCAACAUCGAUUACAUUGGAUAGUUCCACAAUGUUUCAGUUUCCGUGUACAAUGUUUUCCUGGUUCUGCUCAUUUCAUUCUGCAUCGUUUCAUGGAGGUUCCUCCAACAUCAUUCCUCAUAGCACAGUGGUAUUCCAUCACCAACAGAUACCACGGUUUUCUUGCUUAAUGACACAUGUAAAACCCAGUGGAAUUGCAUGUUGGCUAUGGGAAGAGGUUGGGAGGAAGGGGAGGGAAAGAACAUGAAUCUUGUAACCAUAGGAAUAUGGUCUAAAUUAAUUAAUUAAAUAAAAGUAAAUAUUUAAAAGCA
rnacentral:lncRNA from 1 species